rnacentral:lncRNA from 1 species
GUGGGCUCUAUAAGAUCCCUCUUCCUACUGUUGUGCAUUCAUCUAAGAUCCCUCCUUUUGAGUCCUUAGAAUCUCUUACCUCCCAGGUUUCUGGUGCAUUCUGGAGGGUGCCCCCAACCUCUUGUUUCCCAAGGUUGCCUGUUUCCAUUGCUUCUGCUUGCCCUCAGGGCUUCAGGUUUUUUCCCUCACCCAAGAGGAGAUCAGGUUCCCUUCUCCCCCCUAUAAACCACCUCCUCCCAUCCACUUUCCCUCCUAGAUCCCACCCUCCCUCCCACUGGUGACUGCUUUCUUCUCUCUCCCAAGUGGGACUGAGGCAUCCUCCCUUGGGCACUUCAGCUUUUUGAUCUUUUUGAGUUCUGUGGACUGUAUCUUAGUAUUCUAUACUUUUUUUUUUGGCUAAUAUCCACUUAUUGGUGAAUGCAUACUAUGCAAGUCCUUCUGGGUCUGAGUUACCUCACACAGGAUGAUAUUUUCCAGUUCCAUUCUUUUGCCUGGAAAACUCAGCAUGUCCUCAUUCUUAAUAGCUAAGUAGUAUUCCACUGUGUAAAUGAGCCACAUUUUUUGUAGCCAUUCUUGUAUCAUGGGACAUCUAGGUUGUUUCCAGCUUCUGGAUAUCACAAAUAAGACUGCAUGAACAUAGUGGAACAAGUACCCCUGUGGUAUUUUGGGUAUAUUCCCUAGAGUGGUAUAACUGGGUCCUCGGGUAGAUCUAUUUCCAGUUUUCUGAGGAACCUCAAGAUUGAUUUCCAGAGUGGUUGUACCAGUUUACAAUCCUCCAGCAGUGGAGGAGUGUUCCUCUUUCUCCACAUCCUCUCCAACAUGUGUUGUCAUCUGAGGUUUUGAUCUUAGCCAUUGUGAUUGGUGUAAGGUAGAAUUUCAGGGUCAUUUUAAAUUGGAUUUCUCUGAUCACUGAGGACUUUAAAAAUUACUUUAGGUGCUUCUCAGCCAUUCAAAAUUUCUCAGUUGUGAAUUCUCAGUUUAGAUAUAUACCCCAUUUUUUGAUUGGAUUGUUUUGGUUUUUUGGUGAUUAACUUCUUGAAUUUGUUAUAUACUUUGGAUAUUAACCCUCUAUCGGAUGUGGGUUUCUUAUAAACAUGUUUACGAUAUUAAGAUUUAGGUAGUCAAUGUUUAAGUUCGUAGAUUCAUGAAAAUUUCUUUUAUGAAUUAAAAAGUGUUGUUCUAAAUGAACUAAGCCUUAUGUAAAGUAGUUCAGAUGCUAAUUUUGCUUUAAAAUAUUUGGUGAGGGGACAGAUAUCAUGCAAGGUUAUACUUAACCGUUUUAGUAAUUUAUGAAAUAUACUUUUAAAUACCACUUCCCUGGGUUUAUAGACAAAAAGAAUACCUAUGCACUAGAUGUAUUAGAUUUAGCAGUAGAUGUAUAGAUGUUAUCUGUGAUUUUCCUGUUCUCAUAUUCUUCUUUGAGUUCAUUUUUUAAAGAAGUAGGUAUACACCAAGAUUUUUAAAAUAUAUAUGGAUGUGAAUAUGGACAUUACCAAAGCCAUAUGCUGAGAAAAGGCAAUCUUUUCCUCUGUGACAAUGUCUUUCCUCCUCAGUAAAAAAUUAGUUAAUUCUACUAACAUGGUGUAUUUUGGACGCUAAUAUUUUCCAUUGAUUUUUAAAAGUCUUCAUCAAUGCUGUGUGUCACUGAUUGAUGUACCUAUUUAUUAAACCUUUCUGUGUCAGUAUUCUACUUUUCUCUUUUAAUACUGAACUGGUUGUUCUGUUCCUUUUCUUCUUUCAUAUAAACUUCAUUUGGUUAGUUAUUUAGAAAAUAACUUGGUAGGGGUUUUGUUAAGAUUAUAGUGAAUUUAUAAUGUCAAGCUGUAAAGAGCUAGUGUGAUAAUUGAUCUGCUGGGUAAAGAUAUCAAGAAUUUGUGCACUGCAACUGAAUGCCUGUGAAGACUUUUUCAGAUAGGGUUGACAUGUCAGUGAAUAGUAAGGAAGCCCCUGCCCUGAAUAAGGGUGAGAUUAUCAACAGUGUAAACUGCUCCAAUGAAGAAGUGAGAUGAAGCAAGAUACAAGCUACCUUUCUUUUCCCAAUGACUGUUUCUAUUGCUGUGGCCACUGCUGACAUUAGAGUCCAGAUGUCCAGAUAUUCAGCAUGUACUCAACUCUUCAAGGCUUUACACAUUAGACUGACAGUGCAAAGUCAUCCUUCCUGGAUUUCAAAUCUAGUUCUCAGCCUCUGCAGCAUGUAGCUGAGCACUGUACAACUGCCCUAAUCAUACCACAUAUAAUUCAUCUACUUUUAUAAUUGGCAGGUACGUACACUCUGUUGACUCUUUCAUCUAGGGAUAUGUGGAGCAAUUAAAAUUUUAACAGCAUGAAUUACAGAAUAUGAUUUUAUUGUUUAUGUACUCUUCAAUCUGUUUCAUUGAAAUUUUGCAGUCUCCUUUUUUUCUUUCUUUCCUUCCUUCUUUCUUUCUUUCUUUCUUCUUCUUUUUUUUUUUGUUUGUUUGUUUGUUUGUUUUUCAAGACAGGGUUUCUCUGUAUAGCUGUGGCUGUCCUGAACUCAUUUUGUAGACCAGGCUGGCCUCAAACUCAGAAAUUCGCCUGCCUCUGCCUCCCAAGUGCUGGGAUUAAAGGUGUGCACCACCUUGCCCUGCUCUGCAGUCUCCUUCACGUAACCCUUGAACAUGUUUUGUUAGGUUUACAUUUAACUGCUUUAAAAUAGUAAUAUGCUCUUAUUUUGAAACACAACUCAAUUAUUCUUUGUUGAUAUAUGAAAAGCAUUUUUUUAUUUUAACCAUGUAACUGGAAAUUUUCUUAUAUUCAUGUUAGUUCAAGACAGUUUUUAUUGUGCACCCUUCAAGAUUUUCUACAUUGUAAGUCUUAGUAUCUGUGAAUAAAAGUAGCUUCAUUCUUAGUUACUACAUUCCUGUAUAUAGGCAGUUAACAGUUUUAAAAGGAUGAACACUGCAUUCAGAAGGGCAAAUAAUCCUUUCCUAUAUCGAGAGAGACAAAAGGAGAAAAUACUUAAUGAUUUUAAACUAUCCUACAAAAACUGAUCUGACAUUGACUGGUUUCCCAAAUGCAGUUUCUCUUCCAUUAGUAUAGUGAAUUAAUAUAAAUACUCAAAAUCCUUAACAGUUCCUUAUCAAUUUCCU